rnacentral:misc_RNA from 1 species
GAUGAAGAACGCAGCGAAGUGCGAUAAGUAGUGUGAAUUGCAGAAUUCCGUGAAUCAUCGAAUCUUUGAACGCAAAUUGCACUUUCUGGUAUUCCGGAAAGUAUGCCUGUUUGAGGGUCGGCUAAAUAAGAAAUCAAUGUGUUGCUUUUAAGUAACAUAUUGGAAUUGGAUCAUCUUAACCUUGUUAAGCGAUCUAAAAAUUAUUUUGCUUCGGUAUGAUUACGAACUUAAUAAAUUUCGUCGUUUGAUAUAUCGAAUGUUAUUUUUAUUAGGUGUAACCAUUUUUAAUGGUUCUUACGUCUAUAAUUUUGAUUAACGACCUCAAAUCAGGUAAGAGUACCCGCUGAACUUAAGCAUAUCAAUAAGCGGAGGA